CCUAGAUUGAAGCGAUGGUUCAUGAAGAAACCGAUUAUUCCAUCCUAUAAGAUGGUGUCACUAGUAAUGGAAAGAGUCAAUGUGAAUAAUUAAGUUUUUUUUGGUGAAAUCUUUCAUAUUAUAAGUUUAUUACUGUGGUUUUGCUUGUUGAACAAUUUAUUUUCGUAUAGGAUGUAGUGCAAUUUACUCUUACUCCUACUACUACGGAGUUAGAAAAAGCAUAUCUUUACAACUGGAAGGAUUUGGAGACUGUUAUUGCUGCUUCUCCGGAUUCUCCGAAUCAUGCUAUUGCUGCAUCUCCAGAUACUCUGGAUCGUGUUGUUGUUGCCUCUUUGAGUUCUCCGGAUCAUGGUGCUGUUUCCGCUUCUCCGUAUCGUGAGAUUAUGACUGCUGUCAUUGCCUCCCAAGGUACAUCAUCUUACUUUCCUGUGUGCUGCUUUCCUGGACCAUUUAGUUGUUUGUGUUAUAAGAAAAUAUAGGCUGAUUGAAUCAUCCUCAAACUGUUUUUGUUCCAAAUGAUCCAGAUUCUCCGGAUCAUGGCAUUAUGACUGCUUCUUCUCCGGAUCAUGGAAGGACGCAUGUUGUUGCCUCCCAAGGUACAUCUUCU
rnacentral:misc_RNA from 1 species